rnacentral:rRNA from 1 species
AGUGAACGCUGGCGGUAGGCCUAACACAUGCAAGUCGAACGGCAGCACAGUAAGAGCUUGCUCUUACGGGUGGCGAGUGGCGGACGGGUGAGGAAUACAUCGGAAUCUACUUUUUCGUGUGGGAUAACGUAGGGAAACUUACGCUAAUACCGCAUACGACCUACGGGUGAAAGCAGGGGAUCUUCGGACCUUGCGCGAUUGAAUGAGCCGAUGUCGGAUUAGCUAGUUGGCGGGGUAAAGGCCCACCAAGGCGACGAUUCGUAGCUGGUCUGAGAGGAUGGUAGCCCACCCUGGAGCUUAGCCACGGUCCAUGCUACUACGGGACGGCGCAGUGGCGUAUAGUGGACAAUAGGGGGGAGCAUGGUCCAGCCAGCCCGAGUGUGUGGCGGAGGCCUUCGGGUUGUAAAGCCGUUUUGUUGGGAAAGAACAGCUGCCGCUUAAUACCCAGCUGUUCUGACGGUAACCAAAGAAUAAGCACCGGCUAACUUCGUG